rnacentral:rRNA from 1 species
AACGAACGCUGGCGGCAUGCCUAACACAUGCAAGUCGAACGAAGCCUUCGGGCUUAGUGGCGCACGGGUGCGUAACACGUGGGAAUCUGCCCUUUGGUUCGGAAUAACAGUUAGAAAUGACUGCUAAUACCGGAUAAUGACGUAAGUCCAAAGAUUUAUCGCCGAAGGAUGAGCCCGCGUAGGAUUAGGUAGUUGGUGGGGUAAUGGCCCACCAAGCCGACGAUCCUUAGCUGGUCUGAGAGGAUGAUCAGCCACACUGGGACUGAGACACGGCCCAGACUCCUACGGGAGGCAGCAGUGGGGAAUAUUGGACAAUGGGCGAAAGCCUGAUCCAGCAAUGCCGCGUGAGUGGUGAAGGCCUUAGGGUUGUAAAGCUCUUUUACCAGGGAUGAUAAUGACAGUACCUGGAGAAUAAGACUCCGGCUAACUCCGUGCCAGCAGCCGCGGUAAU